CCUAGCAACCUUCAUUUAACCCAAAACAAAGGGCCUCAAUCCCUGCCAUUCCGCCUGCCAUUCCAAGGGAUGGGCCAGGGGUCUGGACGUCCUUCAGAUGAAUCUCCGGGCGGCCACUCCUGGAUUCCUUAGCUCAGAACUUUGAACACACAUUCCUUAAGACCAUGGAGUCAUUCUCAGGAUUACAGAGCACGCUUGGAGAGAUCUCCAGUUCAUUACUGUGGAAGGCAAGAUGUGUUAAACAUGGCGCAGUUUAUGGGGAGAGGGGAGCUGCCUUUCGAUAGAAGGAGGAAAUGUGACCCAGAGAUGGAGUCUAGCUCUGUCGCACAGGCUGGAAUUCAAUGGCGUGAUCUUGGCUCACUGCAACCUCCGCCUCCCGGGUUCAAGUGAUUCUCCUGCCUCAGCCUCCCAAGUUACUGAGAUUACAGACGUCCACCACCACAUCUAGGAAGGCCAUGUGAGGACGCAGGGAGGCACAGAGGGAAGGCAGCCGUGGGAAGGAGGUGGAGAUGGGAGUGACGCAACUAUGAGCCCAGAGUCACCCAACAGUGCCGGGACCACCAGCAGUUAGGAGAGCGGCAUGGGAGCUUUCUCCCCAAGUCUUCAGAAGGAACCAGCUCUGCCAACACCUUGAUUUUGGACCUCUGACCUCCAGCACUACAACUCCUGCCCACCUACACAAGGUUGAGUCUCAGGUAACGUGGACUGAAGAGCAGUAAGCGAGGCCCCUCCUGGUCCUUUCUCAGAAACCUUGAAGUCUACUUGAAGGCACAAAGAGCAAGGGUUGCGUGUCAGUUACAGUUGUCAUUUGUAAGCAGUAGAAUCCGGUCUGACCAGUUUAAGCAGAAAAGAACUCAGGAGAGACAGACGGGAGUUCACACAACGUUUGGGACAGAUGGGAAAAGAGGCCUGAGACAAUGAAAGGGACACUCCCAGAACCAACUGACCCUUUCCGGAAUCUGCUGCCCACCCCGGGACCACACCGCCUUUGCCCAGAAUGCGCCACUGAAAUGACAGAGGCUCCCGGAGACGCGCAGCCAGCCAGCUCCCUCCCGCGGCCCGAGGCCCCCGUGUCUGAUUGGCAGGCCUGGUCACGUGCCCGCAUUUUGGCUGGGAAAGAGUCAGGGAAGGCACCGAUUCAGAUUCUCCCUUGGGGAAACAACUAAAAUGCACGCAAGGUGGCCUAAAAAGCUUGGCAGAUUCACUUUGGGCCAUAAAGAUAUUCUUCAAACUUAAAAAUAA